rnacentral:rRNA from 1 species
AUGGGAACGCGAAGAACCUUACCUAGACUUGACAUCUCCUGAAUAGUGUAGAGAUACAUGAAGCCCUUCGGGGCAGGAAGACAGGUGGUGCAUGGUUGUCGUCAGCUCGUGUCGUGAGAUGUUGGGUUAAGUCCCGCAACGAGCGCAACCCUUAUUACUAGUUGCUACCAUUAAGUUGAGCACUCUAGUGAGACUGCCCGGGGUUAACCGGGAGGAAGGCGGGGAUGACGUCAAAUCAUCAUGCCCCUUAUGUCUAGGGCAACACACGUGCUACAAUGGUGAGUACAGAUAGAUGCGAUACCGCAAGGUGGAGCCAAACUCUAAAACUCAUCCCAGUUCGGAUUGUAGGCUGCAACUCGCCUACAUGAAGUUGGAGUUGCUAGUAAUCGCGAAUCAGAAUGUCGCGG